rnacentral:rRNA from 1 species
UUAUUCCUACGGGGGGCAGCAGUGGGGAAUAUUGGGCAAUGGAGGCAACUCUGACCCAGCAACGCCGCGUGAGCGAUGAAGGUCUUCGGAUUGUAAAGCUCUUUAAGUGGGGACGAAGAAAGUGACUGUACCCACAGAAUAAGCCUCGGCUAACUACGUGCCAGCAGCCGCGGUAAUACGUAGGAGGCAAGCGUUAUCCGGAAUGACUGGGCGUAAAGGGUGCGUAGGUGGUUUGACAAGUUGGUAGCGUAACUCCGGGGCUCAACCUCGGAUCUACUACCAAAACUGUUGGGCUUGAGUGCAGG